AUUAAUUCUUCAAAUAGCUAAACAGCAGCCAAGACUCUGAGGGAUACAAAUUCGAAAGGAUCCCUUCCCUGACUACAAGGUGAUCCCUGUCUGAUAGGGAAGACAGGACAUGCAUAGAGAGAGUUAAAAUACCAGGUGGAUGGCAAUAGAAACCCUUAAAAGGGAGGCUGAUAAUCAUGUGUUAUAUACACUCCGGGGGGGGGGGGAGGGGUCAUUUCUCUGGGAAGGAAAGAAGAUUAGGAAAGACUUCACAGGGGAGGUGACAUUUGAAGUGGACCUGAAAGAGUGAGGUUGGAUUUGCACUUGCGGGGGUAGGAGAAUUAAGCAGAGGGAAAAACAACUAGUAAAGGCUGGAGAUGGAAAAGUACAGGACGAGGAAGCGUAAGUCGUUCGCCCGGGUUGCCGCUCUGCAUGCUCAGACGGGAGCACGGAGCAGUACGGCUGAACAGGUGCAUGACUUUCUGCCCAAUUACUUGUUUUCAACCCAUCAGAGCAGGUCAAGCAUGCAGCUCAGAAGUCUCACUGUCACACUUGGCCUAGGUUGCCCUUGUGCACUGUCUCUGUUCCCUGUGUUCUGCCUUUGCGUACCCACAGAACAAUAGCUCCACGUCUCCCAGACCCUCAUGUGGAGACUUGGUUGAAGGCGAAACCUGAACAAGGAUUUUAGCACAGGAUGAAAGACGAAGUGGCAGAGGGGUAAGACCAACCCCCAUCAAACUUCACCAAGUGCUCUGCCCCAGACUCAGCUCUGCCACAUCCUACUCUUAGUGGGAGGCCAAGCAGGAAGGACUAAGGUGACUGGGGCCUGGGCAGUGGGAGAAAGGACAGUGGGAGAAAGAUCAUGAGGAAGCAGAAGGAGCUUCGUUCUGGCCCAGGGAACCAUCCAGCAACUAUACCCACCACCAGUCCUGGGAGUCACUGGCAGCAAAAAAUCAGAAGAAGGAAUACAAAGGUGCUGCUCCGCCUCUACUGAGCACCCCUCCCCAUCUCUAAGCCUCAGUUUUAUCUUCUGUAAAAUGGGGAUUAUGACAUCUACCUUGUGUGUCCUGUUGACUCAUUUGUAAAGGUAGAACAAGGUAAGUGAGUGUGAAAGCACUUUAAACAUGUAAAGUGCUGUAUUACAGGCUUUUCCUCACUCAGCUGACCCUAUUCAUUAGGAUAAGUAGACAUGAAAAGAAGGAAGAAGAAUCCAGAUCCCGAGGAGCAGAGGCUGUGAAUGUCUCAGUUUUGCAUAAUAGAACUUUGGUGAUUGACCUAUGGAGGAUCUAGUCCAGUUUCUCAUUUGACAAGGAAGCUGAGGCCCAAAGAGGGGACAUGAAGUUUCCAUGGUCACAAGAUGAUUCAGAGGACAAACCCUGAUCCUGCAGAUGCCAGGCCAGUCCUUUUUCCACCCCACACCUCUAGUUGUCCAA